rnacentral:rRNA from 1 species
UACGGGGGGGGCAAGCGUUGUUCGGAAUUACUGGGCGUAAAGGGCUCGUAGGCGGCCAACUAAGUCGGACGUGAAAUCCCCAGGCUCAACCUGGGAACUGCGUCCGAUACUGGAUGGCUUGAAUUCGGGAGAGGGAUGCGGAAUUCCGUGGUGUAGCGGUGAAAUGCGUAGAUAUCAGGAGGAACACCUGUGGUGUAGACAGCUUACUGGACCACUUCUGACGCUGAGACACGAAAGCGUGGGUAGCAAACAGG